rnacentral:lncRNA from 1 species
GUUUAAAUACAAAUAAAGAUUGCCUAGCCUUUGAUACUAACAACAAUACAACCCAUAUGACUAGUUCUACAUUUGAUUGUAAAAUAAAUAUAAUCAAAAAUAUAAUCAAAACAAAUAUACAAACAUCACUAAAUAACAAUUAUUGAUAUGUAGUAUGUGUAACAGUAUAAAUUUUACAAGGAAACAUAGUAAAAUUGUUCUUAACAAAAUAUUCUAAAACAUUUUUGUAUAAAAGACUAGACUUUUUAAAAUUAAGAUAGUCUGAAUAAAUUAAAAAGUAUAAGAAACACAAUUCUCCUUUUUUUCUCUUUAAUCUUUUCUACACAGAAAAGAAUUAUUUUCAAUAGCUCCAGUUAAGCAUAAUUAUAUGAAAAUUUAUGACAAUUUGAGUUUUGAAUUUUUGGUGUUCUCAUAAAGCAUACCUACUAAAUCUAGUGAAUAAAUAAUGCGAGAAAAAACAUAAGCACACAAGAAUGGUCAUAGUACACUUUGGUAUUUUUGUAAAUCUAACUCAGCUUACUCUCUUUAUGUUAAAAUACAGGCAUAUGAAAUCAUCCAUUGGCCAUUUUCUUAAUCAUUAACAUUUAAUGGGAUAUUCACUUAUAACAUUGGUUGCAAACAUAAACAGAUAAUUCAUAUGUUUGGAAGGGUAGACAAAUAAUAAACAAAACUUGUGUUUUACUCCUAUUUUCAAAUAAAAAUUGUCUUUCUCCUUUUUGGAAACAUAUCAACAAUUUACCAAAUAUUUCAAUAUAAGAUAGCCACACACAUUUUAGCUUCCUAUUUUAAAAUAAAGAGAGUCAGCGAUGUCAUGUGACAUCUAAAUGCCAUGGUAAUAACGUCAUGUGACAUAUAAAUGCCAUGGUAAUAACUACAAUAAAUUACAAUAACUAGCACCACAAUCAUUGAAAUGGACAACCAGUGUCUUAAAAGGAAUGUAAAACUAGGAACACAUAGUACAACAUGGAUUUGUUUUCUAAAAAUAUAAAUAAUGGAUUUCUUAACAGUUCAAAAUGGAAUGUAAACUUCUCAUGUUAACAAUAAAUCUUAUGUACAAAAUAUACAAUCAUAAUUUAUCAAGGUUUCAAAUUAGUAGUUUAAAACAAGAAUGUGUCCAUAGUACACGGAUGCCCCACUCGCAAUAUCAUUUUCAAUGGUUAAUGGACCGUGAAAUUGGGGUAAAAACUCUAAUAUGGCAUUUAAAUUAGAAAGAUAAUACCAUAGGGAACAUGUAUACUAAGUUUCAAGUUGAUUGGACUUCAACUUCAUCAAAAACUACCUUGACCAAAAACUUUAACCUGAAGCGGGAAGAACAGACGAACGAACAAACAGACACACAGACCAGAAAACAUAAUGCCCCUCUACUAUCGUAGGUGGGACAUAAAAACCAUCAAUCUUUUUUAAAAUUCAUCUUAUUUUGGAGUUUGAUUCCAGAAUUAAACAAGUUUCUUAUACAUACAUGUACUUAUAUGACAUAAAUGUAUCAGUAAAAUCAGAGUACAAAAUCUGGACUAACAUGUAUUUUUGCCCUUUGGUUAUCAAGAUAUGUGAAUUCAUCUCAAAGUAUUUUUUAAAAAGUACAAAGUUUUCUACCUUUUGAAGGUGAUUAGCAAAAAUUUGUUUAUGAAUAUCUGAGUGUUGAUUUCAUUAAUAAAUAUCUUGAAAUGUGGAAAUGUCCAUGGAUGGGAUGUAUAGAAUGUUCUGAUCAAUGUACUGUUUUGUGAAUCUUAAAAGUAGUGAUGAACCUUGAAAGAUUGAGAUAUCAAGUCAGUACCAUAUGGUUUUGAUGGAUUUCAUGCAAUUUUUAACUUAAAACUGAUGUCGAAUAAUCAUCUGUAUCAGAAUAUAUUUUUUUUCUUUUAUUAAAGAAUGGACUUCUUGAUUAUUUACUCUUCAGAUUAAAUUUCUUAUUUUGUCUCAUUCAUACAGACACUAUCAUAUUUAUAUUUAUAUCACUGUUAAAUAAAAUGACCAAUGAGACAGAAUUCCUGUUAUCUAAGGGAUUACAUUUUAUAAAUUAAAACUGAUUUCGAAUUACAUUUGUACAUAAUUAUAUGGUAUUCCCUGAUUAAAAUAAGGACUAGCAAAAACGAUGAUACGAGACAGAUCAUAAGCAAUAUAUAUUAUGUUCUAAUUCAUUUCUGAAACAUAUAAAAAAGAUUAUGGUAGAAACAUUAUUCUAUGAAAUUUGAAAAAAUAAGUUCUUCCUAAUCUGAAACAUAAUUUUUUAACAAUUUACCUUGUACAUGAAAUCCAGGACUAGCUUUCAAAAGUUGGACUCGUAAAUAAAAUUAUACCAAACAUUUUCAAUCUAGUUUUGCUGAUCGAUAUUUUUAAAAAACAUAUGAUGUAAAAAUACAUAUAUAUAGCACUAUGGAAAA